rnacentral:rRNA from 1 species
UACGUAGGGUGCAGGCGUUAAUCGGAAUUACUGGGCGUAAAGCGUACGCAGGCGGUCUGCUAAGAGAGAUGUGAAAUCCCCGGACUUAACCUGGGAACUGCGUUUCUAACUGGCAGGCUUGAGUGUGGCAGAGGGGGGGUGGAAUUCCACGUGUAGCAGUGAAAUGCGUAGAUAUCGAGAGGAACACCAGUGGCGAAGGCGAGUCUCUGGACAUUUCCUGACGCUUAGGCACGAAAGCCAGGGGAGCAAACGGG